CCUACGGGAGGCAGCAGUGAGGAAUAUUGGUCAAUGGACGAGAGUCUGAACCAGCCAAGUAGCGUGAAGGAUGACUGCCCUAUGGGUUGUAAACUUCUUUUAUAUGGGAAUAAAACGUUCCACGUGUGGGAUUUUGUAUGUACCAUAUGAAUAAGGAUCGGCUAACUCCGUGCCAGCAGCCGCGGUAAUACGGAGGAUCCGAGCGUUAUCCAGAUUUAUUGGGUUUAAAGGGAGCGUAGGUGGAUUGUUAAGUCAGUUGUGAAAGUUUGCGGCUCAACCGUAAAAUUGCAGUUGAAACUGGCAGUCUUGAGUACAGUAGAGGUGGGCGGAAUUCGUGGUGUAGCGGUGAAAUGCUUAGAUAUCACGAAGAACUCCGAUUGCGAAGGCAGUUCACUGGACUGCAACUGACACUGAGGCUCGAAAGUGUGGGUAUCAAACAGGAUUAGAUACCCGAGUAGUC
rnacentral:rRNA from 1 species